CUUUUUCUGCCUUGUCUACGUUAUCGGGCAUGGAAUCACGUUCCAUCGACAUGCUUGGCGGAUAUUGGGCAGGCUUUGGAUCUCCGCAGGCAGUCAAAAAGGUUGUUACAGCCAGUGCAGCAGCCAAUACAAGCGAAAGCUUCAUUUUUUCAUCUCCCAUAAAUUAAAUAUAUAGUCUUUUUUGAGUCACUUUUUGCCUGGCUUCCAUUACUGAAAAACCAGCGCACGUUAUUUUUAGCAGAAUCAAAUUUGUUGUCCAGUAAAUUCGGAACAGACCUGAUAUUUAUUUCUCUGUCAGCAUAUUCUGCUCAUCCGACAAUGAUUUCAUAAU
rnacentral:sRNA from 1 species